rnacentral:rRNA from 1 species
UGACAGUACUCCUACGGGGAGGCAGCAGUGGGGGAAUAUUGCACAAUGGGCGCAAGCCUGAUGCAGCCAUGCCGCGUGUGUGAAGAAGGCCUUCGGGUUGUAAAGCACUUUCAGUCGUGAGGAAGGUAGUGUAGUUAUAGCUGCAUUAUUUGACGUUAGCGACAGAAGAAGCACCGGCUAACUCCGUGCCAGCAGCCGCGGUAAUACGGAGGGUGCGAGCGUUAAUCGGAAUUACUGGGCGUAAAGCGCAUGCAGGUGGUUUGUUAAGUCAGAUGUGAAAGCCCGGGGCUCAACCUCGGAAUAGCAUUUGAAACUGGCAGACUAGAGUACUGUAGAGGGGGGUAGGAAUUUCAGGUGUAGCGGUGAAAUGCGUAGAGAUCUGAAGGAAUACCGGUGGCGAAGGCGGCCCCCUGGACAGAUACUGACACUCAGAUGCGAAAGCGUGGGGAGCAAACAGGAUUAGAUACCCUGGUAG